CAAAUCCCAAACACAUCGCUCAAAAUUUUUGGCAUUCCCUCUCAUUCUCAGAUUCAUUCAGAUCCCCAAUUGUACAUCCAUCUCCCCGGUCACCAACCCAGUCGGAAUUCUAUUUCUCAAUCUUGAUCGAUGUCUCCUCCACUUGAUUCCUAUCCCUCAUCCUCCAAUUGGACAAUCAUCUUCUCCAAUUGAUUCCCACCAUUGCAGCACUGAUGAAUCACGGCUGAGUGACCGAAAAACCACCACUGCACCACCAUACCACAUUACCUACCAUCGCCGUUCGAAACCUCGACGUUUGACUUUUUAUCGUUUUAUUUCUCAGGCAAGGCCUAUAUUGUGUUGGGAGGUUUUCAAAUGGUUUUGACAAAAGAAACGCUCCUAUUACAACUUCAGGAAUGGAGAUGGUUAUCCUGUAAAUGGUAAAUGUUCCUGGAUUCGGAGCAAACGGCUUUGGUUAGGCUGACAACGCCAAAGUCAUAUCAAAUGACGGCCAACAAGUUACCUUUCUAAAGUCAGAUGAUCACUGCUGAAGUUCCUUGAUACUCUUGAUACUCGACUUACAGCCACACCGUGCUGGCUAGAACCCACCUUAGUGAAGUUGAUGUGGUUGGUUAUUUUUUCUCACUGGUUUUUGUAGAUGUGAGUGCUAGAAACCUCGGUAUGGUUUAGGUUGAACUAACCAAAAACUAAAGAGGUCUGUCUAAUCGAGCUUGUUUUGGAGCCUUUGAGAGAUGAACACUACUAUGAGUCUUAAACCGCAUAACCAAUUUACCCUUUGUGAGUCUGUGGUUCAAUCAUCACAAGGGUUCAAUUGUCGGUGAUAUGCGGUUCAGUAAUGAGAAGUUGUUCGGGUUCAAUCAUCGAUUAAGAGUGGCUCGAUAGUCUGUGGUUCAUUCUCCAGGUUUGUUAUUUUUCUUCAACCUCUAGAUUUGAUGUUUGAUUCUGAUAUACAACUGCCUGUGAUUCUGAGUUUCUGAUCUACAAUAGCAUUAAUCUUUGAAUUUCAUUGUAUAUGCAUUAUUUGCUUAUUCUACUAAACUUUCUGCUUAUAUCUUUGUUCUUGAAAUUGACUAGAUUUUUAUGCUUACAUUAGCAUCGUGAUUCGCCUUUUACUUGGCCAAAAGUUGGACCUCCAAAUUGAAUGCUUACAUUGUCUCUUGGUUGCCCCCACCAACAGAAUCCAUCUCACCUGAAGGCUACAUGCCAAUGGAUCUAUAUAAUUUGCAGUUUUGCACUCAAAGUACUUGUAUAUAUAUUUUUAAAACAAUUUAUAAUUUGAUAAAUUAAUAUUUGACAUGUGCUUAUCCGGUAUGGAAAUAUUGAUGAAUUGAAAUCCCUUGUAAAGAAAUUCCAUCAAGUUGGUAUAAGGGUGUUAGGGGAUGCUAUCAUAAAUCAUCGAUGUGCGCAUUAUCAGAAUCAAAAUGGUAUUUGGAACAUUUUUGGUGGUUUGUUAAACUGGGAUGAUAGCGUAGUUGUUGGGGACGAUCCCUAUUUCCAGGUGUUGAUUUUAGAAAGCUUUCAUUUUUUAAGAUGAUGGUGUUGCAAAAUAUUCUUGAAGUUUCUUUUUUUUUCAUUGUAGGGCCGGGGAAAUAAAAAUAGUGGAGAUGAUUUCCAUGCUGCCCCAAAUAUUGAUCAUUCACAAGAGUUCAUCAGAGAAGAUAUUUGGAAAGAGAAUGGGUAUGAUGGAUGGAGGUUAGACUGUGUACACGGAUCGUGGAAUAUGUUUUAUGAACCCGUCUGCAAUUUCGCGGGCUGAUUAACGCAAACCCAAACACAUCGAGGAUGCAAGUAGAGAGGUUGCAGAUCGAUUGUAUAAAAGAAAGGGCAAUGACAUCAUACUAUUGCCCUACAAAUCUACAUUCCCUGAAACCAUUGGGUGUUGGCACUACUAAACCUGAAAACAACUACUUGCUAUUAUCUUGAUUCCUUACGGCCUAGAAGUGUCGAUGAGCCAGUUGAGGCAAAUUAUUGACACGGCAAUGGCCGUCUAUGCUUCAGAAAGUGGUGUCAACAUAAGGGUUAAACUCGUAUGGGUUAACACUAGGUGUCCACGUCAGCCAGGAGGUACUGAAUGCGGCUACUAUGUGAUGAAGUUAAUGAAGGAGAUAGCUUACGAAGGAUUUGAAAUACUCGACAAUGAUAAUAUAAGUUUAGGCAUAUUUUAGUCUGUAUAUUAGAGAAAUAUGUACUUAUAUAUCCAAACAAAUGCUUAAAUUCAUAUAUUAUGAUUAAAAGCUGAUUUUUAAGAUUUAUUUUAUUUAAUUGUUGUCUCAGGUUGGGAAAGGAGUAGAGGAAUACUCGGCUGCGGAUAUGGAUGGCAUUCGUGUAGAUUGGUCGACUUAUGCGGUUAACUCUAUUUUUAAGUUAUAAAUCGUAUUUUAGGUGUUGAUAAUGUAUUGAUAAACAAUUCUUUUUUUGUUAACCUUAAAAUAUUUGUAGUAUACUUGACAAAUGAUUAUGUAAUGGAUUGUUUUGGUAUAUAUA